GCACCAUGUUGGUAUACUCAGAUCAGGUAGCAUUGGGCGCCAUGUUGGUAGAGUCAAAUCAGGGAGCAUUGGGCACCAUGUUGGUAUACUCAGAUCAGGUAGCAUUGGACGCCAUGUUGGUAUACUCAGAUCAGGUAGCAUUGGGCGCUAUGUUGGUAUACUCUGAUCAGGUAGCAUUGGACGCCAUGUUGGUAGAGUCAGAUCAGGUAGAAUUGGG